CCUACGGGUGGCAGCAGUGGGGAAUAUUGGUCAAUGGGCGAAAGCCUGAUCCAGCCAUGCCGCGUGUGUGAAGAAGGCCUUCGGGUUGUAAAGCACUUUCAGUGGGGAAGAAAGCCUUGGGGCUAAUACCCUCGAGGAAGGACAUCACCCACAGAAGAAGCACCGGCUAACUCCGUGCCAGCAGCCGCGGUAAUACGGAGGGUGCGAGCGUUAAUCGGAAUUACUGGGCGUAAAGCGCGCGUAGGCGGUCUGAUAAGCCGGUUGUGAAAGCCCCGGGCUCAACCUGGGAACGGCAUCCGGAACUGUCAGGCUAGAGUGCAGGAGAGGAAGGUAGAAUUCCCGGUGUAGCGGUGAAAUGCGUAGAGAUCGGGAGGAAUACCAGUGGCGAAGGCGGCCUUCUGGACUGACACUGACGCUGAGGUGCGAAAGCGUGGGUAGCAAACAGGAUUAGAUACCCGAGUAGUC
rnacentral:rRNA from 1 species